CUAAAGCUAUACAGAAACCCUGUCUCUAAAAGAAAAAAAGAUAGAAGUGCUGGGGCUGCUGCAGGUCCUUCUGAGCUCUGCUUAAGGAGCCAUACUGCUCAGUCAGAAGCGACUCCUUUCCUCUCUAUAGCAAAUCUGGCUGCUGCCUGUCUGUCUGUCCUUUUCCAGUGUAGCCAUUUCCCAGCUUGGUGGCCAUGGCCUUCCCUCUCAACAUGCCCCCCUGCUCUCUGUGCCCCUGUAUUCGAAAGUGAUCACAGGCUGCCUGUGCCCUGGUCAUUGAUAGUGCAGGGAGAGGAUGCCGAAAGCCUUUCCCCGUGUUUGGAGGAUGCACACCUGUCCUUGCCAAACCCUGGUGCUUUCCCACACCACGUCCUGCCUGUCAUCCUGGCACUUCUGCAUUGGCAGGGCAUGGAGCUCAGACAGUGAGCUUUUCCUUCAGAAGCUUUCUCAGCCUCCACACCCAUUGUCACCUCCUAGGACACUUGAGACUUGGAAGGAAGUGUUACCUUGCUUGACCCCUGGCAUGCAUGCUGCUGUGUUCUGUCAGUCGAGAGUCGGGGUUCUGACUGGAUCGCAUGAAAGACAGAGGGCAGGUACUCACUGUGAGGCACUGUUGUCUGUUAACUGAGUAAGCAGCCUGCACAGACAGCUUCAGGAGGAAGCACAUCUGCUCCUCUCCCUCCUUGAGGAAUCCUUCCCUUGUGGUCUACUUUAGAUCACUGCCUUGGGUAGCCACUCAGGACGGGUUUUUCUCUCCGCCCCGUGGGAACAGGCAAGAACGAGAAGUGGACAACACCGAAUAAUUGACAUGUCUAUGCUACCCUUCCUGCCAGGUCCGUGCCCACUAGAGGACAGUAUAUGCCAGAAUGCCGUGGCCCUGGUGUGCUCUUGAGCAGCCCACCCAGCAGAGCAUCAUCGGGCUUGUCUCCAAAGAGCUCUAGUCUCUCCCCCAGCAUUGUCAGCUGAUCUUUGCUGUCUCUGUCAGUGGUCCUCGUGUUUCAAGAAGUGGCUGGAACAGGAUCCUUGCCAGGUGUGGACACCAGAGGGCCAGGGAGUAGACAGCAAGACUACCACUUGAAGUGAAACUAGAGACUGCCCAUUCGGAGCAUCAUGAAACAUCUUUUUAUUAUGGCUCAGGCAUGGGAGACUCCAGCAUACAAGGUCUUAACACCAACACCUCAGAGGACUGUGUCCUGUCUCCAAUCCAUCUGCUAGUGCCUGGAAGGACUAGUGACAAGAGCUUUUCUGUUGAACUUGUUGCCAACUUUCCUGCUACCUCCCCAACUGUGCAAUAAAUAAACCUGAUAGAUGAAUUCA